GGCUUUGUAGUCGAAAUAGUAAGGACACUUGCCUCUCACCCUGGAGUCCCGGGUUCGAUCCCCGGCCGAGGAGAUCG